GCUGGGUUGUGCAGUAUGAUGGCUCCAACAAAUAUUUAGCAUAUAUACUAAUGUGCCAUUAAUUCAUGUAAUAGUACUUUAAAGGAUCAGUAUAGGCCAUGUAGUUUUAGUCCUGCAAUGUAAAAUUUUGCCAACUUGUAGAUACAGCAAAGCUUUUAUUGCAAGGCUAAACACCCUGACAGCCACUAGAGGGUGCUCCUGUGACUUUCGACAUCCACAGUCAUUGCAUGAAGAUGUUGAGCAUUUUCUAAUGGUGCACCAUUGGAUUGAAUGUUUCUCUGUCAGGCGCAAUUGAAUGGAUAAACGCAAAGCUUACUGUGCAUGCACUUCUCAUCCCCAAUGCUUCCUUAUGAGAAGCAUGGGAUUUGAAGAAGAUGAAGAAGAGACUACCUGCAGUACAAUGUCACCAUAGACAGAGAAGGUGGCUGAGUGGAUGAGUCUCAGCACUGUAAAAAAGUUGAGUAAAACCAUUUUUUCCUUUUUUUUAUUUGGGGGAGUGUCUGACUCUAAAUAGGGAAUAUGCUUGUAUUCCCAAAUCUGUAUUGUUCCUUUAACAAUUAAGCAGUUUUGUCAUUGACUAUUUUGUUGAUUUAAGUAAGGUUGCAUAACAAAACAUAACAGGUUUUAGCACAUCUACAAAC